rnacentral:lncRNA from 1 species
AAAUGAAUUUGUUCAGCAUAACAAUUUUUUUUUUAACAAAUACGCCUUUUUUUUUUUUUAAUAUAGUUCCAAUCUGUAUCUCCUUGUCAGCGACACUUACUACAGAUUCAAAGUGUUGAAGCAUGCAUGGUACACAAAGGUUGAAGAUCAAACUAAUUAUCCCUUUACCACAUCUGAAACUGAUGGAACAACCUGCAGCAAAGUACACAAAAUUCAUAUCCUGCUCUACUGAAUCAUAUGGUAAAAUCAGGUAGUUCUGGAUGAGGGUGUGAAAGCAAGCAGAAAUCAUGGAACUGUAGCUGUGCUACUGAAGAGGCCUUUUUCUAUGUAAUACAAUACUUAUGUCAGCCCUCCCCUAACCUGCUGCAUCCAAAUGAGUCAGAUGAGCCUGAACUGCAUUAAUAGUAAGUCUGUACCUAACAUCCUCAUUAUCUCAC